GGGGGUGACUUUGGAUUUGAUAGAAGGAAUCCAUACCUAUUGAUAGCCACUGCUGCAUGGUUCUCCAGCAUAAUCACGAACCAAAACCAAAAUGCUAACGCAUGAAAAUCUCUCCUUGCGAGAGCUAAAGCAUUUGUUGCUACUCCAGCUUACUGCUAGUAUAGCACCGCUUUAGUACCAACCUCUACGUUUGACUCCUCCUAUGCGUAUAGGUGUUUUAAGGAGGAACCCCAUAGUUGUACUAGUGCAUACUCCAAAUGAGUUUGUCCUUUCCCUCUGAAGUUCCUACUAGUAUAACUCUAAAAAGCAGGUUAGAAAAAGCACUAUAGUGGUAGACAUCAAAAGAUAUGCCUUUUAGACCGGAGUUCAAUUCUCCGCACCUCCAAAA
rnacentral:tmRNA from 1 species